GCCUAGUUAGCUUAGUUGGAGUGCGUCUGCCUUGCAAGCGCUAGGCCGCGGGUUCGAUUCCCGCCCGGGGCA
rnacentral:tRNA from 1 species